UGCAAGUCGAGCGGACAGAAGGGAGCUUGCUCCCGGAUGUUAGCGGCGGACGGGUGAGUAACACGUGGGUAACCUGCCUGUAAGACUGGGAUAACUCCGGGAAACCGGAGCUAAUACCGGAUAGUUCCUUGAACCGCAUGGUUCAAGGAUGAAAGACGGUUUCGGCUGUCACUUACAGAUGGACCCGCGGCGCAUUAGCUAGUUGGUGAGGUAACGGCUCACCAAGGCGACGAUGCGUAGCCGACCUGAGAGGGUGAUCGGCCACACUGGGACUGAGACACGGCCCAGACUCCUACGGGAGGCAGCAGUAGGGAAUCUUCCGCAAUGGACGAAAGUCUGACGGAGCAACGCCGCGUGAGUGAUGAAGGUUUUCGGAUCGUAAAGCUCUGUUGUUAGGGAAGAACAAGUGCAAGAGUAACUGCUUGCACCUUGACGGUACCUAACCAGAAAGCCACGGCUAACUACGUGCCAGCAGCCGCGGUAAUACGUAGGUGGCAAGCGUUGUCCGGAAUUAUUGGGCGUAAAGGGCUCGCAGGCGGUUUCUUAAGUCUGAUGUGAAAGCCCCCGGCUCAACCGGGGAGGGUCAUUGGAAACUGGGAAACUUGAGUGCAGAAGAGGAGAGUGGAAUUCCACGUGUAGCGGUGAAAUGCGUAGAGAUGUGGAGGAACACCAGUGGCGAAGGCGACUCUCUGGUCUGUAACUGACGCUGAGGAGCGAAAGCGUGGGGAGCGAACAGGAUUAGAUACCCUGGUAGUCCACGCCGUAAACGAUGAGUGCUAAGUGUUAGGGGGUUUCCGCCCCUUAGUGCUGCAGCUAACGCAUUAAGCACUCCGCCUGGGGAGUACGGUCGCAAGACUGAAACUCAAAGGAAUUGACGGGGGCCCGCACAAGCGGUGGAGCAUGUGGUUUAAUUCGAAGCAACGCGAAGAACCUUACCAGGUCUUGACAUCCUCUGACAACCCUAGAGAUAGGGCUUUCCCUUCGGGGACAGAGUGACAGGUGGUGCAUGGUUGUCGUCAGCUCGUGUCGUGAGAUGUUGGGUUAAGUCCCGCAACGAGCGCAACCCUUGAUCUUAGUU
rnacentral:rRNA from 1 species